CAGUCUUUAUCCAUUCGACGCUGCAAGGCGAAGAUAUCUCCGCGUUCGAUCUACGGUUGAAAGCGGCUAUCUGUUGCGGCGGUGUCGCGUAUCUUCGUCUUCCGUCGGACUGAAGGCAAGACUGCAACGUGUGAGAUACCUGCAGUCGCGAUUCCUCCAUUGCUUGUAUAUCUUUUAAUCAGGGCUUCUCUAAAUAAUGAAGACAACCCCCUGCAAGUCUUACGGCAUUAGUGUUGAAUUUCUAAGUAGCCUUAUGCAAUCCUCUUUGUAAAUUAUUGUAUGUUUUUUUAAGUUUUAAUUAAUAAAGAGAUAGUUUAAAUGCAA